GUAGGGAAUAUUGGGCAAUGGUCGGAAGACUGACCCAGCCAUGCCGCGUGCAGGAAGACGGCCCUCUGGGUUGUAAACUGCUUUUAUCUGGGAAGAAAAAGGCCAUGCGUGGCAAAUUGCCGGUACCAGAUGAAUAAGCACCGGCUAACUCCGUGCCAGCAGCCGCGGUAAUACGGAGGGUGCGAGCGUUGUCCGGAUUUAUUGGGUUUAAAGGGUGCGUAGGCGGCUGAUUAAGUCAGCGGUGAAAGACUGCGGCUUAACCGGAGCAGUGCCGUUGAUACUGGUUGGCUUGAGUGUCGGAGGGGUACAUGGAAUUGAUGGUGUAGCGGUGAAAUGCAUAGAUACCAUCAGGAACACCGAUAGCGAAGGCAUUGUACUGGCCGACAACUGACGCUGAUGCACGAAAGUGUGGGGAUCGAACAGGAUUAGAAACCCUUGUAGUCC
rnacentral:rRNA from 1 species